rnacentral:rRNA from 1 species
UACAGAGGUCCCAAGCGUUGUUCGGAUUCACUGGGCGUAAAGGGUGCGUAGGUGGCUUGGUAAGUUUGAUGUGAAAUCUCCGGGCUUAACCCGGAAAUGGCAUUGAAUACUAUUGAGCUGGAGGUUUGGAGGGGGGACUGGAAUUCUCGGUGUAGCAGUGAAAUGCGUAGAUAUCGAGAGGAACACCAGUGGCGAAGGCGAGUCCCUGGACAACACCUGACACUGAGGCACGAAAGCCGGGGGAGCAAACAGG